AUCCAGAUAACGCGUCUCAAAUAGGACGAAAUGAGUAUCCUGGAU
rnacentral:hammerhead_ribozyme from 1 species